rnacentral:rRNA from 1 species
UCAGUUGUGAAAGUUUGCGGCUCAACCGUAAAAUUGCAGUUGAUACUGGGUGUCUUGAGUACAGUAGAGGCAGGCGGAAUUCGUGGUGUAGCGGUGAAAUGCUUAGAUAUCACGAAGAACUCCGAUUGCGAAGGCAGCUUGCUGGACUGUAACUGACGCUGAUGCUCGAAAGUGUGGGUAUCAAACAGGAUUAGAUACCCUGGUAGUCCACACAGUAAACGAUGAAUACUCGCUGUUUGCGAUAUACAGUAAGCGGCCAAGCGAAAGCGUUAAGUAUUCCACCUGGGGAGUACGCCGGCAACGGUGAAACUCAAAGGAAUUGACGGGGGCCCGCACAAGCGGAGGAACAUGUGGUUUAAUUCGAUGAUACGCGAGGAACCUUACCCGGGCUUAAAUUGCAGAUGAAUUACGGUGAAAGCCGUAAGCCGCAAGGCAUCUGUGAAGGUGCUGCAUGGUUGUCGUCAGCUCGUGCCGUGAGGUGUCGGCUUAAG